AACGAACGCUGGCGGCAUGCCUAACACAUGCAAGUCGAACGAGACCUUCGGGUCUAGUGGCGCACGGGUGCGUAACGCGUGGGAACCUGCCCUUAGGUUCGGAAUAACUCCCCGAAAGGGGUGCUAAUACCGGAUAAUGUCUUCGGACCAAGGAUUUAUCGCCUUUGGAUGGGCCCGCGUUGGAUUAGCUGGUUGGUAGGGUAAAAGCCUACCAAGGCGACGAUCCAUAGCUGGUCUGAGAGGAUGAUCAGCCACACUGGGACUGAGACACGGCCCAGACUCCUACGGGAGGCAGCAGUGGGGAAUAUUGGACAGUGGGCGAAAGCCUGAUCCAGCAAUGCCGCGUGAGUGAUGAAGGCCUUAGGGUUGUAAAGCUCUUUUACCCGGGAUGAUAAUGACAGUACCUGGAGAAUAAGCUCCGGCUAACUCCGUG
rnacentral:rRNA from 1 species